ACAUCAUGAUUUGGGCAUUGAAUUAACAUAUCAUUGAAACAUUGCCAAACUUCAUACAGUGGUUCUUUAUUAAGUUAGAAAAAGUUGGUGAUUUCAUCCCUCAUUU
rfam:Capsicum annuum cultivar Zunla-1 unplaced genomic scaffold scaffold658, whole genome shotgun sequence